ensembl:miRNA Gm23566 predicted gene, 23566
UGUACAUGCACAUAUAUGUGUGUAUGUAUGUAUGUAUGUGUGUGUGUGUGUGUGUGUAUAUAUAUAUGUAUGUAUACACACACACACACACACACACACACAUAUAUAUAUACAUAUAUAUAUAUAUA